rnacentral:rRNA from 1 species
UAGAGGAAGUAAAAGUGGUAACAAGGUUUCCGUAGGUGAGCCUGCGGAAGGAUCAUUACUGAAGGCUUAGAGGGUUUGAGACUGUGUCAUUAAUGGCAUGUGCUCGACUCUUACUCUUUUUAUUUAUCCAUAACACCUUUUGUGCACCAUGGGACAAUAUAAAGUCCCCUUUUUCUAUACAAACACCAAGUUAUAUGCAUGUCAUUAUAUGCUCUAAGGAGUACUAUACAACUUUCAACAACGGAUCUCUUGGCUUUCGCAUCGAUGAAGAACGCAGCGAAUGUGCGAGACGUAAUGUGAAUUGCAGAAUUCAGUGAAUCAUCGAAUCUUUGAACGCAUCUUGCGCUCCUUGGUAUUCCGAGGAGCAUGCCUGUUUGAGUGUCGUGAAAUACUCUCAAUUUCAAUCUUUUUGUUUGAAAUUGGAUUUGAAUGUUGUUGUGAAUCAUUCAUGACUCGUUCUAAAUGCAUUAGCGAUCUGCCUUUGAUCACACAACAAUGUGAUAAGUAAAAGCAUUGUUAGAUUGAAGUGGAGAUGGCUUCUAACUGUCUUAAUGGACAAUAACAUUAUUUGACCUCAAAUCAGGUAGGACUACCCGCUGAACUUAAGCAUAUCAAUAAGCGGAGGAAAAGAAACU